rnacentral:rRNA from 1 species
UGGGGAAUAUUGCACAAUGGAGGGAACUCUGAUGCAGCGACGCCGCGUGAACGAAGAAGGCUUUCGAGUCGUAAAGUUCUUUUAUAUGGGAAGAUAAUGACGGUACCAUAAGAAAAAGCCCCGGCUAACUACGUGCCAGCAGCCGCGGUAAUACGUAGGGGGCUAGCGUUGUCCGGAAUCACUGGGCGUAAAGGGUUCGCAGGUGGAAAUGCAAGUCAGGUGUAAAAGGCAGUAGCUUAACUACUGUAAGCAUUUGAAACUGCAUAGCUUGAGAAGAGUAGAGGUAAGUGGAAUUUUUAGUGUAGCGGUGAAAUGCGUAGAUAUUAAAAAGAAUACCGGUGGCGAAGGCGACUUACUGGGCUAAUUCUGACGCUGAGGAACGAAAGCGUGGGUAGCAAACAGG